GUUUGUAUUAGGUUGAUGCAAAAGUAAUUGUGAUUUUUGCCAUUACUUUCAAUGGCAAAAACUGCAAUUACUUUUGCAUCAACUUAAUA
rnacentral:miRNA from 1 species